AACCGACUUUAUAUCCGGGCUAUAUGAUAGCUCAUGUAUGUGAAUUUUUAAAUAGUUUUAAUAUGAUAUUAAUGAUAAAAACGUCAUUUAUUAUUUUUAAUAUUUUGUUGUAAUAUUUUUUAAGAAAAAAAAUAUGUAUUAAGUUAAAUUGGUAUUAAAGUUGAAGAUAUACGAACUGCACAGUCAUGUGUUCUGUAAUGGGUACGGAUAUGCAUAAUACUACGACCCUUUUCUAUAAGAUUUUACUUAGUAAUACAUUCAUGAAUUAGAAAAUAUUGAGAAAACACAAACAUAUGAUAUAAAUACAGACUGGGUAAUAAACCGAACAAAAAUAAAGCAAACAUUGUUGGUCAAGAUUUCGACUCGAGCAUUAAUAAGGAUUGUUUCAUGAAGACUUGAUAGCAC
rnacentral:lncRNA from 1 species